rnacentral:lncRNA from 1 species
AAGUACCUACCACGCCACCCGCUACCUGUAAUAAUCCAUCUGAAGAGGUCGCCGGGCAGCGCCUCGGCAGACAGACUGACCUGCGGGGAGGUGCGGUUUCCAGUGGCGCGGGACAGCCGGCUCCGAGAAGGAACUGGGACCUUUGCCUAGGGCAAGACGUCAACAGGAACCCGCAGGCCCGGCCUGGACACCUGCUGCCCUCACUGGAAGCUUUAACUCCCACUCGAGUCUCUUGGCGUCGUCAGUGCCAGGAGCGCUUGGAUUGGGAUGGGGACGGAGAAGGGUGCCUCGCUCGCCGAGCCCCGCUGCCCUUGGGGACCUGGCAAAGUCGAGGUUUCCUCACAGCGUUGAGAUUGAGACUGGGGGUCGUGGUCUCAAAUAGUCAAGACCCCCUGCUGGGAGGAGCUUCUAUCCUGCUCUGUGGAAGAAAUGGGCAUGCCAGAUGCCUGGAAGAUCAGAGGCUCACAUUCCAGCUGGAACCAUGGAGGAUGUAGAAGAGAAGAAGAAGAAGGUUCCUGUUAUGCCAGAAACCCUUAAGAAAAAGGGAAGGAAUUUCUCAGAGCUG